rnacentral:lncRNA from 1 species
UAGUGUUAAAAAAAAAUUUAAAAAAAAAAAAAGGGGCAAAGCCCAAAAUAAAUGGGUUGGAAUGUUGUGUAGAGGGUGAAGGCCCAUAAGCCCAAAAUAGCUCCAACCAGGUGAUCAAAAGUACGCCCAGUACUCCAAAAUUAUUUGGCAACCUGCCGCUAUUACCACCAACCAGGUGAUCAAAAGUACGCCCAGUACUCCACAAUUAUUCAGCAACCUGCCGCUAUUACCACCAACCAGAUGAUGAAAUGUACAACUCGUACUCUAAUAUCAUUUGGAAACUAGCCAUUCAUGCCACCAAUUAGGUGAUGACAUGUAUAACCCGUACUCUAAUAUCAUUUGGCAACUCGCCAUUCAUGCCACCAACCAGGUGAUGAAAUGUACAACCCGUACUCUCCUUCAUACCACCAACCAGGUGAUCAAAAGUACGCCAAGUACUCCAAAUUAUACAUGAGCAUUACUCAUGUCAUUCAUACAUAAACAUUCAUGAUAAUCAUACAUAAACAUUCAUGACCAUCAUUCAUGUCAAUAUUCAUGAGCAUCACUCAUGUUAACAUUCAUGAGCAUCACUCAUGACAACAUCCAUGAGCAUCACUCAUGUCAAUCAACAUAAACAUUCAUGAGCAUCACUCAUGUCAAUCAGCUUCAAAAGCUUUAUUUACAGAGCUCUAGCUUCAAAAGCUUCAUUUACAAAAGCUCCAGUUUCGAAAGCUUCAUUUACAGA